GUAGGAGGCAAACGUUAUCCGGAUUUACUGGGCGUAAAGCGCGUGUAGGUGGUACUGUAAGUAGGGCGUGAAAGCUCCUGGCUCAACUGGGAGAGGCCGUUCUAAACUACAGAACUAGAGGAUGGUAGAGGGAGGUGGAAUUCCAGGUGUAGCGGUGGAAUGCGCAGAUAUCUGGAGGAACACCGGUGGCGAAGGCGGCCUCCUGGACCAUUCCUGACACUCAGACGCGAAAGCUAGGGUAGCAAACGGGAUUAGAGACCCCGGUAGUCCUAGCCCUAAACGAUGUAGACUAGGCGUCGGAAGCUUAAUCGCUUUCGGUGUCCAAGCUAACGCGAUAAGUCUACCGCCUGGGGACUACGGCCGCAAGGUUAAAACUCAAAGGAAUUGACGGGUCCCCGCACAAGCAGCGGAGCGUGUGGUUUAAUUCGUUGCUACACGAAGAACCUUACCUGGGUUUGACAUAGCAGUGGUAGGGAAGCGAAAGCGGACCGACCCUUCGGGGAGCUGUUACAGGUGUUGCAUGGCUGUCGUCAGCUCGUGUCGUGAGAUGUUCGGUUAAGUCCGCUAACGAGCGCAACCCGCGUUGUGUGUUACAAGUGUCACACAAUACCGCCGGUAUUAAGUCGGAGGAAGGUGCGGAUGACGUCAAGUCAGCAUGACCUUUAUAUCCAGGGCUACACACACGCUACAAUGGUCAGCACAAUAGGUUGCCAAGCCGCGAGGUGGAGCCAAUCCAUAAAGCUGGCCUCAGUUCAGAUUGCAGGCUGCAACUCGCCUGCAUGAAGUUGGAGUUGCUAGUAACCGCGCGUCAGCAAUAGUGCGGUGAAUACGUUCCCGGGCCUU
rnacentral:rRNA from 1 species